rnacentral:tRNA from 1 species
GUUUCCGUAGUGUAGUGGUUAUCACGUUUGUCUCACACGCAAAAGGUCUCUAGUUCGAAAAUGGGCGGAAACA